AUUACUCAAUCAAAUUGAGUUAAUUAGUGAUUAAAUCACUAAUUAAACCUCUCAUAAAUAUUGAGUCCAAAUCCGAUGGGUAAUCAGGCAUCAGAAUUCAUCGAUAUGUAACCCUGAUCGAAGAGUCGUAAACCAGUGGGACUCUUGACCCCGGUAACCAAAAUAUGUGGAAUUCAUGAUCAGAGAAUCUUGAUUCUCGAUCACAGAAUCUCAGACAUGAAGGACUCUUCACCAGC
rnacentral:lncRNA from 1 species